CUGCCUACGGGAGGCAGCAGUGAGGAAUAUUGGUCAAUGGCCGGAAGGCUGAACCAGCCAAGUCGCGUGAGGGAAUAAGGCCCUAUGGGUCGUAAACCUCUUUUGUCAGGGAGCAAAGGCGUCCACGUGUGGACGAGAGGAGAGUACCUGAAGAAAAAGCAUCGGCUAACUACGUGCCAGCAGCCGCGGUAAUACGUAGGGAGCGAGCGUUGUCCGGAAUUACUGGGUGUAAAGGGAGCGUAGGCGGGACGGCAAGUCAGAUGUGAAAACUGAGGGCUCAACCUUCAGACUGCAUUUGAAACUGC
rnacentral:rRNA from 1 species